GGAUUAUUAUUGUUACCUCAACUCCAAAUACCUCUGCCCCAUAUCCCCUAAUGAAAUCAAGUAUAGGUCCAGAAAUCCAGUUUAGUGCUGCCUUACCUGGAACACAGUUUGUUCAGAUGAGUUGAGCUCACAUGCUAGACUGACACUCCAGUGCAAUGCUGGGUGGGUAUUGCAUGAUCAAGGUGCUGAACCUCAGAUGAGAUGUUUAAACCAAGGUCCCAUCUGUCUGUUCAGGUGGAUGAUAAAGAUCCAGUGACACUAUUCGAAGAGAAGGGAGUUUCUCGCACCCAAAGUCCUGACUGUCAGUCCCUCAGCUGAAAUUAGGUCAUUCACUUCGUGGCUGUUUGUGGGACAUUGGUCUUUGCAAUUUGGAUAACUGAUUUGCCCACAAAAUAUACAGUCAAUCCACUUGUAUCCUGUGAAGUGCUUUGAGACGUCUCAAUGACGUGAAAGGGCCAAAUACAAAAAUUAUUAUCAUGUAAUCCUGCAUUUGGAAAUCCUUGGUUUUUUUAUUGAGAGGAAAAAAUAACUGAUUGAAAUAAAAUAGUUUAUAAGGGAAUCCCAUACUGUCUAGGCUGGGACCUGGAACACCUUUCAGGCUGUAAAUUAUUGUACGUGUAAUUAUUUUUAUGACUGACAUUUACAAGAGUAAAGAUGUAAAGCCUCCCCACCCCCAUCCCAAGUGCCUGAUUAUUGCCCACGUCCAACACACGUAUUCAGUGGCUAGUCUGUUCAGCACCCACUGAGGCAUCUGUGCACUGGCUACAUAAAGUAUUCAGUCAGUAUUGGAGGUUGCGGUGGGGGGGAAUUGCGAGUUUUAUUUUUUUGUAAAAAUCAUGUUAAUCAUGAAAUGAACGUGCCUGGUUAUGCUGUAUAAAAUGCUGCUGCAAUCUAUUCAAAGUCUACAGGACAUUGUACUUUUGUUAUCUGUUUUAUAAAUAAAGCUCCAUCCUGCAUAA